UAGCAAUAAUUAGUUCGGGAUCGUUCGC
rnacentral:sRNA from 1 species